GACGAACGCCGGCGGCGUGCUUAACACAUGCAAGUCGAACGGAAAGGCCCUGCUUUUGUGGGGUGCUCGAGUGGCGAACGGGUGAGUAACACGUGAGUAACCUGCCCUUGACUUUGGGAUAACUUCAGGAAACUGGGGCUAAUACCGGAUAGGAGCUCCUGCUGCAUGGUGGGGGUGGGAAAGUUUCGGCGGUUGGGGAUGGACUCGCGGCUUAUCAGCUUGUUGGUGGGGUAGUGGCUUACCAAGGCUUUGACGGGUAGCCGGCCUGAGAGGGUGACCGGCCACAUUGGGACUGAGAUACGGCCCAGACUCCUACGGGAGGCAGCAGUGGGGAAUAUUGCACAAUGGGCGGAAGCCUGAUGCAGCAACGCCGUGUGCGGGAUGACGGCCUUCGGGUUGUAAACCGCUUUCGCCUGUGACGAAGCGUGAGUGACGGUAAUGGGUAAAGAAGCACCGGCUAACUACGUG
rnacentral:rRNA from 1 species